rnacentral:rRNA from 1 species
UACAGAGGUCUCGAGCGUUAGGCGGAAUCACUGGGCUUAAAGCGUGUGUAGGUGGAUCGUUAAGUACCUUGUGAAAUCCCACGGCUUAACCGUGGAACUGCUUGGUAUACUGGCGGUCUUGAGCCACUUAGGGGCUACCGGAACAAAUGGUGGAGCGGUGAAAUGCGUAGAUAUCAUUUGGAACGCCAAUGGUGAAAACAGGUAGCUGGGAGUGUGCUGAC